AUGCACGCUGGCGGCGUGCUUCACACAUGCCAGUCGCACGGAAAGGCUCCUGCUUGCAGGGGUACUCGAGUGGCGAACGGGUGAGUAACACGUGGGUGAUCUGCCCAGCACUUCGGGAUAAGCCUGGGAAACUGGGUCUAAUACCGGAUAGGACGAUGGUUUGGAUGCCAUUGUGGAAAGUUUUUUCGGUGUGGGAUGAGCUCGCGGCCUAUCAGCUUGUUGGUGGGGUAAUGGCCUACCAAGGCGUCGACGGGUAGCCGGCCUGAGAGGGUGUACGGCCACAUUGGGACUGAGAUACGGCCCAGACUCCUACGGGAGGCAGCAGUGGGGAAUAUUGCACAAUGGGCGCAAGCCUGAUGCAGCGACGCCGCGUGGGGGAUGACGGCCUUCGGGUUGUAAACUCCUUUCGCUAGGGACGAAGCGCUAGUGACGGUACCUGGAGAAGAAGCACCGGCUAACUACGUG
rnacentral:rRNA from 1 species